rnacentral:snRNA from 1 species
UCUUGGCCGCCUCUGUCCCU